UCCUACGGGAGGCAGCAGUGGGGAAUCUUAGACAAUGGGGGCAACCCUGAUCUAGCCAUGCCGCGUGAGUGAUGAAGGCCUUAGGGUCGUAAAGCUCUUUCGCCUGUGAUGAUAAUGACAGUAGCAGGUAAAGAAACCCCGGCUAACUCCGUGCCAGCAGCCGCGGUAAUACGGAGGGGGUUAGCGUUGUUCGGAAUUACUGGGCGUAAAGCGCGCGUAGGCGGAUUAGAAAGUUGGGGGUGAAAUCCCGGGGCUCAACCUCGGAACUGCCUCCAAAACUGCUAGUCUAGAGUUCGAGAGAGGUGAGUGGAAUUCCGAGUGUAGAGGUGAAAUUCGUAGAUAUUCGGAGGAACACCAGUGGCGAAGGCGGCUCACUGGCUCGAUACUGACGCUGAGGUGCGAAAGUGUGGGGAGCAAACAGGAUUAGAUACCCUGGUAGUCCACACCGUAAACGAUGAAUGCCAGUCGUCGGGUAGUAUACUAUUCGGUGACACACCUAACGGAUUAAGCAUUCCGCCUG
rnacentral:rRNA from 1 species